CGGGGGAAAAUCGAGUUGAGCGGCUAUUGAAUGUUGGAAACGUAUUUCCUGUUGAAAAACGAUAUUCUGUCGGAUAACGAUUUUCUCGAGCGUUUACACAACAACCCGGAAGUGAUGUAGGACGGAUGGCGGAGUUGGCAUAUGCGCGGAACAACCUAGUGUAUCCCAUCGCUGAGAAUACUUCUUAAGUCAGUCAAUGACCGGUUACCGGUGACAGCGGAUCCGGACCGCUGCAGACGAAGUAACUUCCGGUCCAAUCGUAAAUGGACAACGCCGCACGGUCCAAAGGCUUAUAAGUGUGCGUUGACAAUGUUCGGAUAUACCUUAACUGGUAUUUGAGGUUCUUGUUACCAGGGUAAAGGUAUGCAGCAAACCCUAACUUUUUUGAACACAAUAUAGAUGUUAAGAUGUCUUAAAAUUGCUCGACCAUAGACACAUGUAUUUAAUUGUUU